rnacentral:rRNA from 1 species
CUACGGGAGGCUGCAGUGGGGAAUAUUGGACAAUGGGGGAAACCCUGAUCCAGCAAUGCCGCGUGAGUGAAGAAGGCCUUAGGGUUGUAAAACUCUUUCAGUUGGGAAGAUUAUGACGGUACCAACAGAAGAAGCACCGGCUAACUCCGUGCCAGCAGCCGCGGUAAUACGGAGGGUGCUAGCGUUAUUCGGAAUUACUGGGCGUAAAGGGCGCGUAGGCGGCCUGUUAAGUCAGAUGUGAAAGCCCUGGGCUCAACCCAGGAAUUGCAUUUGAUACUGGCAGGCUAGAGAUCAAGAGAGGUGAGUGGAAUUCCUAGUGUAGAGGUGAAAUUCGUAGAUAUUAGGAAGAACAUCGGUGGCGAAGGCGACUCACUGGAUUGAUACUGACGCUGAGGCGCGAAAGCGUGGGGAGCAAACAGGAUUAGAUACCCCUGUAGUC